UCUCCACGUAUCAGUUUUGUAAAAACCUAACGGCUCUCUCUCUCUCACUCUCCACAAAUCCCAGAGGCCUCUCUUUCCACAUUCUCUCCGCUCUCCCUUCUCAUCUGUCCCGGCCACACCACCGAUUUCUCUCUUUCUACUCGGCAGGUUCUAUCUCUCUCCUUGGUAAGAUCUUCGUUCUCUCUCUCCUAGUUUGACUGUACUAUAUGGAGUUGCCUCUUGCAUGGGUUACCAAUGUUCAACUGCAGUUGUAGAUGCUGCUUUGGUGCUCCUUGGAAACAUAAUUUCAUAUCAUCUAUGUGAGGGAAUUGGGGAUGUUGGGGGUUAGGGAUUUGAUAGGUUGAUUAAGAUUCGAUCGAGGAGUAACAAGCUGGGUAUAUUUUGGAGUUCAACGGUCAAAACAGGUGAGAAAAAGGAAGAAAAGCAGAUCUGGUUGGCUGUUAGAAAUAACUCAGCAAUGCAGAUAUUGGUUUGUAGAUUGUGCAAGGAUUUUUAUCCUAAUCUUUUUAGGGUUCUCAGUUUGUGGAAUUAUUGUUAAACAAAAUGCCAUUGGUAAAGUGGUCAAUCUCCAAAAAGCAUCUGACAACCUAAAUCUUCAAUGCCUUUAUACACAAAAUCUUUGUUUAUUGGCAUCUGUCAUCUUGAUGUUGAGGCAAAGAAGACAACAUCGAGAGUUGAUUGAUUUGUUCCCUUUUGAGAACAAGAAUUAGAUAAUAAUUUUCAUCAUAGCUAUAGAAGGGUAUUCAAAUUGCUGGUAGAAGAUUAGAUUACUUCUCAAUUCAAUGCUUUGGAAUUUCAAAUUCCUGCAUAUGUUUCAAAGUCAUCAUGUUUAUUUUAGGAUUCUCAAUGGCUCAUCCAGGCUGUAUUUAUGAUGUGUGCAGUUAUUGCUAUUGAUCCUUGUCAGAGGUAUAAAAUCCAUCCUUUUUUUGCAGUUUGCAUUAUCAGUUAGUCAUGGUUAAUUUCUUAUUAUCUGCAGCCUUUUUGUUUAUUUGUUUUUUCUUUUUUUCGGGGAAUUGGUCAAUGCAGUACUUCAUAAUCUAUCCAGAAAGCUUAAGUACGCAUCUAUGCUGAAGGUGAUGAAUAUAAUUGUUUCUGUUCCAUAAGGCAUGGAUAUUUUGAAAAGUCAAAGGUUGCUUGUCAACUGUUGGCAGUUCUGGUCAAAAAUCACUUUGUGCCAAUCUUUGCUAUCUGUAUGGCAUUGCAUUGCAGUAAGGAAUCUGGGUGGGAAAAGGCAGCAAUUGUGCCUCAGAGUUCAAUUUUGCGUCUUGCUGAGAUAUCUGGGAGUGAACGAGACAAACUCAUAAAGGAACAUAUGGUUUGCAUCUGCUUUUCAUCUCUCUCUCUCUCUAAAAGAUUCAGAUGUGAAUAAUCUUGCGCCACUAUUUUCCCUUCUUCCUUUGCAAUUCUUUUGGUAACUGCUCUUAUGGCAUGAGUUUGAGCUCAGGACAGUCAUUGAUCCACAAAUCUAAGAGAGGUAAGGUCUUGUUCAAUGAUCUCAAAUUUGGAAAUCACCCAACGCAAAGAGUGGCAAGACUUGUGUGGCACUUGACAUUCUUAAGAGUUUAUUGCCUACCAUCAAACGUUGACCUGUUCCUGCUAGAACGUGAGGAAAGGACUCAAUUAAUCAUUUUGUGCACUUGCUGUAAUAAGACAAUGAACUAACAAUCUUACAAGAAAUCCUUCUUCUUUUUUCGUUUU